AAAGGAAUAGACGGGGGCCCGCACAAGCGGUGGAGCAUGUGGUUCAAUUCGACGCAACGCGAAGAACCUUACCGGGGUUUGAACUGCACGGGACAGCUGUAGAGAUACAGUUUUCCUUCGGGACCCGUGUAGAGGUGCUGCAUGGCUGUCGUCAGCUCGUGUCGUGAGAUGUUGGGUUAAGUCCCGCAACGAGCGCAACCCUCGCCUCCUGUUGCCAACAGAUAAUGCUGGGCACUCUGGAGAGACUGCCGGUGACAAACCGGAGGAAGGUGGGGAUGACGUCAAGUCCUCAUGGCCUUUAUGCCCCGGGCUACACACGUGCUACAAUGGUCGGUACAAAGGGUUGCAAUACCGUGAGGUGGAGCUAAUCCCAAAAAACCGAUCCCAGUUCGGAUUGGAGUCUGCAACUCGACUCCAUGAAGCUGGAAUCGCUAGUAAUCGCGGAUCAGAAUGCCGCGGUGAAUACGUUCCCGGGCCUUGUACACACCGCCCGU
rnacentral:rRNA from 1 species